rnacentral:rRNA from 1 species
UACGGAGGGUGCAAGCGUUAUCCGGAUUCACUGGGUUUAAAGGGUGCGUAGGUGGGUCUGUAAGUCAGUGGUGAAAUCUCCGGGCUUAACCUGGAAACUGCCAUUGAUACUAUAGGUCUUGAAUUUUCUGGAGGUAAGCGGAAUAUGUCAUGUAGCGGUGAAAUGCUUAGAUAUGACAUAGAACACCAAUUGCGAAGGCAGCUUGCUACAGGAAUAUUGACACUGAGGCACGAAAGCGUGGGGAUCAAACAGG